UGUGUAUCUUGGAUUUAAAACCCAAUAAAAGAGGAAGAAGCAGCUGGGAUCGGGGCUGCUUGUCACUCGUAACUCUCCUGGGAGGUGAACGGGCAGUAACUUCUUUGGCGACCACGAAGGGACCCUCGUGCUGUGAUCUGGAUAGCAACAACCUCCGUGGGUGAGAACGGUCGACUCUUAUGACGCGUCAGACUUUGAAGCCUCCUGGGUAAACCUGAUCCAGUGCACACUCCACCUGAACAGCUGAGUUCCCUCAUGGGACUCCUGGAUGCAUCUCCCUGCACAGAUGAUCCCACUCUAAGGACAUUGCCCCUGACACUGUGGAGUCGCGGUCCGUCUGAUAUGGCUCCUCCUUUAUUGACCAAGGGGUGCGCCUCACCGGUGCUGCUGUUGUUACCCUGACCUCUGUGCUGUGGACCAGCUCACUCCCAGCAUCUUGCAGUGUGCAGUUCGUGUUGCUGAGCGCCCCUCAUGGAUCCACCACUCCCAGGUGAAGCCAGCCGUUUUUGAUGCCUUGCCUCCUGAUCGUACUCCCCUGUCAGUUUCUGCUGACUCUCAGGAUUCUGAGCCACUUGCUGUCCCAACUUUACGGCUGCGUUGAACUUCUACCGGAUGGGCCUCGGUCCUCUCCUGAAGGCCUGCCUCUGAUGUGCCUCAUCUAUCCUGGUGCUUCUACAAACCCCUGUUCAAAGGUGAAGUCAUGGACAUACAGGGCCAUCUGGACGCUGUGUUUCACUGAGGAGGGGGAUUGUUGUGUGUGUGUUGUGUGUGUAAAGCUAU